AGUAUUUGAAAUACGUCAACGCGCUCCAGAUUCGAACCGUCUUUAUAACAGCUGACUUUUUAAAAAACAAACCAGAAGCAACGAUUUAUAAGACUUGUAACAGUCGGUACUGAACAUGAGCUCAGAGAAAUGUUUGCAGAAGAAUGCCAAUCCAACCCAACAGCCUCCCACACCAAGUCUAACGAAACGGAAGAAAAUCCAAGAGAUCAAAGUCUUCAGAAGUCCAACAGACAAUAUGGUGUCUCCCUGUACACGCAGACUCCUGAAGAAAACUGAUAAAGUUGUGAAUCCCAGCAAGACAUUACCAGACGUGCCUAAGUUUACUGUUGAGGAUAAAGAAAAUGCUUCCAUCAUGUAAAAUGGAGAAAAAGCCUUCAUCAACAGCCAAGCAUUAGCUGGGCAGGUUUCCUGGGUUCAGGGUGUUCUGCUUGUUUCAAGAGUUAUGCUGGGUCACUAGCGCUUAUGAUUAACUUUAUUAUAAUGCACUAAACUGAUUGCUGGUAAGAAGGCAUUUGAUCUGAAAAUUAACAGAGGUGAAUCUGAGGUACAUUUUUCUACCCUUGAUCUCAGCUUGAUACAUACUCAUAUGCUAUGCCAUUGUUCAUAAGGCAAGCUAUAAAUAUGGCGUGCAAAUAAAUUGUAGUAUAAAGUUAAAGGGGGUUUUCGCUUUUGUUUUAUGAGAGAUUUGUUCAAACAAAUUGUUAAAAAGAGUAUGCGUUGUACAAGUUGCAAGAACUGUUGAGUUGUAAAGGCUGCUACACCAGACACGAUGUGACAAGCGAAACUGCAGCGAGAAAACAAACGGAACUUGCACUUUUGAUAAGUACCGUAUUACUUCAAUUUGGCGCCGCGGCGUUUAUUUUAAAUUGAUCAAAAUGACUGCAGCCCUUAAACGAGGGCGGCCUUUAUUAAUAAUACUAUGCUUUACAAACGCUGCAAUAUUUUAUUAAUUGAUUUAAGGCAUUUUAGAAACGGCGCCAUGAGAGGCUCCGAUCUGCAGCAAUAUACUCUUGUGUGAUUUUGGGGCUUGAAUACAGUACAUUUACUGACAGUUAACGAGAGCCUAUUAGGUGGGAGUUGGGAGGUCAGGGGAGUACUGUACCAGCGAAUGAGGAGUGUGUAUUGGUUGCUAUGGGGCGGGACAAGAAGAGGAAAGAUAACGGUAGUUGAGUUAUUUUUCAAGACGAAAAAUUGAUUUCUGUUAAAACUAAAAUACAUAUUUUUUUCCUGCUUGUUUCAAAUUUCUCUGUAAGAGAAACCGAAACUAAAUCUUCUCAUACAUAGUAAGCACGUUUUUUUUUUUGUUUUUUUUUUAUAUAAUUGUACAGGACUGAGUAAAAUUCCAAUUGAAUAAAAACCAGUCACCCAAAUAAAAAUCUCAUUGCGUCUGGUGUGUGGCGGCCUUUAGAGUUGUACAUUUUAUACAUGUUUUUUUAUAAUGUAAGAUGUUCUUUUAUGUAUUAUAAAUAAGUCACAUUGUAUGAUGAUUUUAUAAACAUGUAUAUGGAAAGUUUACUGUAUUAUUUCUGUUGCUAACGGUUAUAUGAACUGUUUUAAUACAUUAAAAAAAAAAAAAAAAAAAAAAAA